UGGGUAACCUGCCUCAAAGAGGGGAAUAGCCUCCCGAAAGGGAGAUUAAUACCGCAUAAUAUGUUUAAGUCGCAUGACUUUAACAUCAAAGGAUUUUCUUUUAGAAAUUCCACUUUGAGAUGGACCCGCGGCGCAUUAGCUAGUUGGUGAGGUAACGGCUCACCAAGGCAACGAUGCGUAGCCGACCUGAGAGGUGAUCGGCCACAUUGGAACUGAGACACGGUCCAGACUCCUAGGAG
rnacentral:rRNA from 1 species